GGUGGCCUACGGGACGCAGCAGUGGGGAAUAUUGGGCAAUGGGCGCAAGCCUGACCCAGCAACGCCGCGUGAAGGAAGAAGGCUUUCGGGUUGUAAACUUCUUUUCUCAGGGACGAAGCAAGUGACGGUACCUGAGGAAUAAGCCACGGCUAACUACGUGCCAGCAGCCGCGGUAAUACGUAGGUGGCAAGCGUUAUCCGGAUUUACUGGGUGUAAAGGGCGUGUAGGCGGGGACGGAAGUCAGAUGUGAAAACCACGGG
rnacentral:rRNA from 1 species